AGAGUUUGAUCCUGGCUCAGGAUGAACGCUAGCUACAGGCUUAACACAUGCAAGUCGAGGGGCAGCGGGACUGAAGCUUGCUUCAAUUGCCGGCGACCGGCGCACGGGUGAGUAACGCGUAUCCAACCUUCCGUACACUCAGGGAUAGCCUUUCGAAAGAAGAUUAAUACCUGAUGGUAUGAUGAAAUUGCAUGAUAGCAUCAUUAAAGAUUUAUCGGUGUACGAUGGGGAUGCGUUCCAUUAGGUAGUAGGCGGGGUAACGGCCACCUAGCCUACGAUGGAUAGGGGUUCUGAGAGGAAGGUCCCCCANAUUGGAACUGAGACACGGUCCAAACUGCUACGGGAGGCA
rnacentral:rRNA from 1 species